GACGAACUGUCCUAACGUUGUUCGGAAUCACUGGGCUUAAAGGGCGCGUAGGCGGUCGACCAAGUCAGGGGUGAAAUCCUGCAGCUUAACUGUAGAAGUGCCUUUGAUACUGGUCGUCUCGAGGGAGGUAGGGGUGUGCGGAACUUCCAGUGGAGCGGUGAAAUGCGUUGAUAUUGGAAGGAACGCCGGAGGCGAAAGCGGCGCACUGGACCUCUUCUGACGCUGAGGCGCGAAAGCUAGGGGAGCAAACGGGG
rnacentral:rRNA from 1 species